CCAUUUGAGGGGGCGUGGGUAACCCUGCAGCCCGCACUCGCAGCCCUGCCUCCCUCCUCGAUCUCUUUCCCUCAGCCGCCACAAACCCUAGGUCCCUUUCCUACGAUCCCAUGGUCGUUGCCCCUGCUCCAUCCGACCUCUGUGGCGGCCGAGGGCCCGAUCCGCGCCGACGCCGUGCCGGCGGCGGCCGGGGCGGGCGCGGAGAGGGCCGAUGCGGCGGCCGCGGGCAGGGCGGCGACGGCCAAGGCCAUGGAGGACGAGGUUGCAUGGCGAGAAGCGGCCGAUCCACCUGCGUGCCGUCACUGCAGGGAUAGCGAAGGUCAGCGACAAAGGUCAUCGUGGGGGCACACCGUCGUCUCCCUCUCCCCUGGUGGCACCUCCCUAUGUGAGCUCCUCCCUAUCUUCCUGCUCCUUCACCUCCUCCUUCUCAUCCCAUGUAUUUUAGAUUUGUUUGUUCAAUUUUACUCCGUAGUGCUUGCACGCCCAUGAAUCUGGAAGUAACCCGCAAAAAAAAGAAUCUGGAAGUAGACAUUUUAGUGUUUUUCCUAUUCCAUUAUCCGCUUUUUUUGUUGCUAAGAGUACAAUUUUUUUGCAUGGGGGAUUAAUUAGGCUGGUUAUAUAGAAUGAUAAUUGCCUCAAAUGAUUCAGAUUAAGAGUUCUGCUCAAGAUAUAUGUGCUAGAGAACUAAUUAUUUUGUACUUGACCGCUCUGCAUAUGUUGAGGUUUGUCCUGGAACGGUUGGCUUUGGGACUUUUGGUGGCAGUAUAUUCUUAUGCCGACGACAAGCAUUUGCAGGACGAUUAUGUGGUUAUCUGUGGCAGUGUGCUCCUAUCCUCCCCGCCUCCAUACUUCAUUUUUGGAAAACUAAUGAUUUUGAUUCAUGGAUGUCAUAGGUACCAUUGAUUGUGCCUCGGCUUCGUAGCCGAUCUUCGAUCGUCCAUGGCAUCAACACACAAAUUGAUAAUGCAAACCUCAGAUCAAUACCUCCCCUAUUUGAUUUCUGUGGCAGAGUGCUAAUAACUUUUAUUGUUUGUGUUUUUGGAUAAGAUUUGCAUGGUAUUUCUAUCAUUGGUUGAUUGCUUGGAUACUUUCACUAUAGUAGUUAUUCUGCCUCAUCUAUCACUAUCUGCGGGCUUGCUUUGAUUAUGUGUCUCCCAACUUUCUGUAUCUAAAAAGCAGCCUGUAAAUGUAGCUUGAAUAAAAAUGGAAAUUUCAGAUGACAUGUACAUGUAAGGAUUCAGUUUUGUGCUAUCGAUGAUAGUCCUCUACAACUACCAGUGUGUCCUGUUGUUGAAGCUUUUGUUGAUCUGAUGAUGUAGCCUCUAUUUAAUGUUCUAUAGCCUCCUGAUUAGUUAUAUCCUAUCAGUAGCACCAUGCCUCCCUAUCGCGCUAUUUGUCAAAAAACCGGAACAACCAGUAGCGAGGUGCCUCCCUGUAUGUUGUUCAUCGAAAGCUUGUUCAAUUUUACUCCAUAGUGCUUGCACGCCCAUGAAUCUGGAAGUAACCCGCAAAAAAAUCUGGAAGUAGACAUUUUAGUGUUUUUCCUAUUCCAUUAUCUGCUUUUUUUGUUGCUAAGAGUACGAUUUUUUUGCGUGGGGGAUUAAUUAGGCUGGUUAUAUAGAAUGAUAAUUGCCUCAAAUGAUUCAGAUUAAGAGUUCUGCUCAAGAUAUAUGUGCUAGAGAACUAACAAAAGGUGUACAAUAACUUCUAAUUUUAUUCCACUGACGAGAUGUGUCAAAUUUAUUGUACAAUAUGUUCUAAAUUUAUUCCACUGACAAGAUGUGUCAAAUUUAUUCAAUGUUUUUUGUAUUGUGGUUGAUGCAGUCCCAGGACUAACAUUGGAAUAUUCAUGUGUUAUAGGCCAAUAUAGAUUUCUCAAUGUAUCAUUUUGGCACUGUUUGACUGCUGAACAAUAUUGCCAUGCUGAUCAUUUCUCAUGUCUUUGCAAUUUUUGGUCUUUAUUUUGAUUUCGUUGUGUGGUGUGCUUUUAUCUAGGUGAGUUGAGUUGCUGCUUGGUUGGAGAUGUUGAUGUCAUUCGAGACGCCCGCUGGAUUCACCCUUUUCAAGGUUCUGAAUAAGGGCAAGCUCGACAAGGUCGAGUGGUACAGGUGUGAUCUUCAUGGAGCUAGCCAUCAUUGGAUUUGGUAAUACAUAAUCACUUAUUCAGAGAGCCCAAGGUGAGAAGAGACGAGCAUCUAGAACACCACCACCUACUAAUCAGUGAGCUACUAUCUGUCUUUGAAUGAGUUACUUAACAAGAGAAGGCAGGUAGCAAUAGAACACGUGCAAUCUCAAUGUUUACUAAUUAUCUAUUUCUGAAUUUAUUGUUCCCAGCUGCUCUGAAUCUGGGUGUUUUGCUUGCUGCUUUGUAGGAGUUUCCUACCUUUCUUCUGCAAAUCUGGAAUGCCUUUAUGGCAUGAUCAUGUGAAAAAAGUACCUUGAUGCAGUAAUGGAUUUGAUUAUCACUGGUUACUCUGUUUUCACGAAUUACUAUCCAACUGUAAGUCUAUUCUAUACCCUAAGGCCCAUGUUAAUCUGAUAGAAGAUUAAGCUAUUUAAUUUUAACUAAAAAGGAUAAUAUUCUUUCAGUUGCUUGAAUCUGUCCAGACCUGAAAAAUACUUAUACUUUGAAAGCUUGAUAUAUGAGUAUGUAAUUUUACAGGUAUGUAAAUAGCCGACAAUGUUAUUGUUCAAAUGUACUCGAGCCAGGUUUUCGGUGUUUCAUUGCAACCAAAAGAAUUGGUAAUAUUGUUUUGAUGAAAACAUGGUCGCACUUGUCAGUGUUGUAUAAUAGGAUUUUUAAUUAGUGGCAUAGGAAAUUUUUCCCUAAGAUCCACUAUGAAGUUGAUUGAAAGUCCAUUUUCCCUAAGAUCCACUAUGACAAUGAAAAAGAUUUCUGAAAACUGUGUCACCAUAAAUGUUCCAUCAUUGUCCAUAGCAGUCCCAUGCCAUAUUAAUUUUAGAAGAAUAAAUUCUUAUUCAGAUGUUCAUUGUGUUUUUAUGUACUGCUAUAUCUAAAAAAGCAAGUUUCAGCUAAAAGCAGAGCCGUGGUUAAGAUACUCUUUGCACCUAGGAUAUGUGAUAUGUUCAGAUUGCUAGCUUUAAACUAUAGUUUUAGAAAAUGUGGUGCCCUCGCUUAUUUUUGUAAUACAUGAACUUAGGGUAAAUGUUUUAUGUGUAAUGCGUGCUUGAUUUCUUUUUUAUUCUGGUGGAUUUUGAUUUUCUCCACCAUGCUUCUCUCCAAUGGGAUGAGUCUGUUUUCGCAGCAGCGGGUGAUGCAUGUGCUUAUUGUUGGCUGUUGGUAUGUGGUAUGCAUUUUCUCAUUGUUGGCUGUUUGUUGUUUGCUAUGAUUAAGAUACAUUGGCAUGUACAUUUUAUAUCAGUUUCGUUUUCAACACCACCUAUCACUGUAUAAUUUGUCGUUAAUAGAGUAGUUUCUCCUUUAUUGCAUUGCAUAAUGCUAGCAAGCUACAUUGCACCAUAAACAAAAAUAAUCCUCUUCCAAGGUUAAACCUGUUUUUUCCUUCUAGCAAAGAUCUUCUCUGGAAAAGAUCAAUUCUGUUAGCCUAUAAUAUUGCAGUUCUUUCUUAUCCUUCAAAGAUUUAAAAUUAUUUUCUGUUUCCACUCCAUUCGUUCUCAUGGAUUCUGAAAAAAAUAUUUUUGUUUUUUGUUGAUUAAUAAUAUUGAUUUCCGUUUCAGUUUUGUGGUGGUCGAUGCAUGUAGAAUAUACGGACUUUCCUAGAAUGGCGCCUUUUAGUUUUUUUUGCUUGAUGUUAGUUCAUUGAUGAGAACACCUAUGUACAUGAUUGUUGCAUGCAUGAUAUCCUACUAUAUACUGAGAAAUAUUUUUCUUUUUCGGACAUUGUUUUCUAAAUCCUAUCAACAUAUUACCUGAUAUGGUCUUUGAAGUUUCUAUUUUAUAGCGAGCUUUGCACUGGUCAACUUGAGUAUGGUAUGGUUAUCUUUUCUUUUGUUUACAGGUGAUGUGUGGUAGAAGCUGUUCUCACAGGAAGACUAUUGUGUUGUGUAUAAACCAUGUUCUACGAUUCACUUCUGUUAUGCAUAUUUACUUUCCAGUUUUAGGACUAAUAUCCAUCCAUUGUAAUGAAUUUGGUUGUAUGGGCAUUACCUAUUUGACUUAGGCUUGCUUCGUCACAUAUAAACUGUUUUUCUUUCCCCCACUGCUUGUAUGACCUAAAACUAUCAUGUAUAUGAGGCAAGUUAUUAGCAAUGUUUCACAUUUUC